UUAUGGAAUUUGCCACUUAUAAAAUAAUAAAAAAAUCUUACCAAUGGCAGCUGCUGCAAGGCACUUGAUGACUACUUGAGGUGGAUCACAACCUGGAUAAAAGGGAGCUGAUGCAUAUUCUGCAAAGCUGAGACAUACGAUAGCGAAAGAACUGGGUUUCAUGACAAGCAGGCUCGCCCAAGAAAACAGAAAUGCUGGUAUUGGGCCAAAGGCCUCCAUAAGACUCUCCACCUGUAGUUGUUAGAACCUGAACCUUGAAGAUUGUUUGGCAGCUGAAGAGACAAUAAUUCAGAUUUACCAGCCAGUUAGAGAGCAACACAGAAACCAGAAUAUGCAGAAGCAACAGCAGCUUAAGUACAGAGGUUAUAAAAGCAAUGGGGGAAGACUCUUUCCCUCUCAACUGUAUAUGUAUGAAGAGAUCAAGGGGUUCAAAUUUCAAGGGACUUCAGAAUGAAGCACUCUGUGGGCUAGUCCUGUCAGUGUAGUUUGAACCUUUUCAAAUACUGUUUACUAAUCAUAUCAUAAGAAGUAAUUUUCAACUUGAAUUCAGGAAACAGCAAGAAAACAGCAUAUACAUUUAGCUUUUAUUACCAUUAUCACUAAUAAUAAAGGUUAAUGUUUGUUGGGGCUGGUAUUUAUUGCUUGCAGUACUGCACGUAUUCUUUUCUGGACUGGCAGUUCUUAAAUGGAUGGUAAUGACUGUUCUAACUUGGAGGUUUUACUUGUAGCUUAGUGGUAUCUCAGAAUAGAUACUUUCCAUUCUUACCUUGCUGCCUAACAGGUUACUUCAUUUUUAUCAGAGGAAUAGUGUGUUUACUUGCACUUGCUCUUCUUUGACUCCUGCUGUUAACAGAUGUGCUCUAAGAAGUUAUCUCACUUCUGUUGAUCUUAAGUGCAUUUCGUUUUUCUCAUGAGAAAUUCCAGUAUAUUUGUUUGGGCACCUGUGACAAAGUAGGAAAAGGAAUAAGGCUGCUGGAGAAGUCUUCAGGUUUGCUAAUGGUAGUAGAUCUACUUCAGUAGUUAUUCUGACAAAUCACUAUAAUGAGGUGGAUAAAAAUGUCUCCCAGAUCUGUUGUAUUUUUUUCCUUUUUUUUCCCCUCAUGCAGGGAGGUAAACAACAUCUUUCAGAGCAGGUAUAACAAGAUAAGCCACAAGAAGUCGUCUGAUUCAGUAAUUAUUUGAAUAAUUUAGAAGGGUUUUAAUCAUCUCAGUAUGCAGAUGUUUUUUAUUGCCAUGAGGAUUCUUCAUUAGUUUCAAAAUCAGAAUUUAAAGUUCUCUCAAAUAAUAAUCACUUCCUGUCUGUGCCAAAAUUUAGGCUGUAUCUUAACCACUAGAAAUAAGUCAGAAAUGCUGUGUGUUCUGUUUAGGAACCAAGGUGGGGUUGGUUUUUUUGUUUUUGUUUUGUUUUUUUUUUUUAUGUUUACAGUACUUAAUCUGAGUUUAAAUUUAUCAAAACCAAAUAUUUGGUAUGUAAAACAACUUUAAAAUACUACAGUAUAUCUUUAGAGAGUAGAGAUGUGUUGAAAUUGAGUACAAGAAAAAAACUCUACAGGUGUCGGUGCGAAACUACAUUUUUAAAGACAGAAGUCCUCAAAAUGCAUCUUUUCUAUAUUCUAGCUGAUUGUCAGUGUAAAUUUAUUAUUUAUUUCCAUUAUAUUUGCAGAGCAGGAUGAGUGCACAGAGCUAUUACAAAUGUCAAAACUGAUUUUUUCUAGACAAGGAUUUGUAAUCCCAAUGGAGAAACACUUGGGACGCCUGAUUCUGUUUGCCCGUAUAAUUGCAUGAAUUUCUUAUGGCUUAAGAAUGCUAGAAGGUUCUCUCUUCUGAGUUGUUGAAGGCCAGUGUUCAAGCUAGAAAGAUGCAGCUCCUUCUAUACUAAAAAGUGCAUGAAGGGGAAAGGUCAGCAGCUGGGUAUAAUUCUCUUCUGAAUGUGCUGUUAUUUGGGGAAAUAAUUUGACCUGUAUGUAACUUAUUGCACACUUUCUGGUAAUCAUUACAAAGAAAAAUUGAAAAACCUGUGUCUGCUGUUUCACCUCAACUUAAUGAUAAGCAUAAGGGAAUCUGAAAUCAGCUUCUAUAGAUAACGUUGUUGUCAUAGGCUAUAAAUUAGAGAAUGAAUCACCAGCAGAGCAUAGGACAUAAGGCAUACUUUUCUUAGCCAGUCUGAGUAGUAGAAUCUUUCCAGUAUCUCUGCAGCUCACCUCUGAAAACCUUAUUUUAUUAGUAUUUUGAAGAUGCAUCUGUCUUGCUUGAGUUUAUUCCAUACUCAACAGAGUUUUGUUUGUUCUUAGGUGGUGGUGGUGGUAACCUUUCAAGUUAAAAUCUAGUAUGCUUAGUUGUUACGAACAGAAUAUGGUCUGUAAAUGAAGCAAUGAAACUAACAUGACCACAGGAGUACAAAUUCUGAAUUGUUAUCUCUGUUUCUUGGUAAGAAAUGAAGUACUUUCCCCUGUUUUUAUUUUAUUUUGUAAAAGGAAGUUGUAGCAGUGCUUAAUGAGUUCAUUUUACAGUCAGCAAGCUGUAAGAAGGAGAGCACUUAAAGUCAGUAUGCUCUGUCAAGCACUGGUUGGGGUAAAGUAGUAGCUAAUGUCAGUGCAUAACAAAAAUAAAUGGUCAGGGGUAAAGCUUUUGUAGUGCAAUAUAACAUCUUUUCUGUAUCAUUUGUUUAUAGUAGUAUAUGUGUAUAGUAACUAGUAGACAAUGCAAAGACAAAUGGCUAACUAAAAAGACUUUUAUGCUUGUGUAUGGGACAAAUUCAUUCACUCAAGGAUGCAAAAUUUCAAUGCAUUCACAUUUGGGUGACUGAUUCUAAUUAAAAGGUUAUUUUCUCAGAAUAGGUAGUUGAUCUUCACUUCAAAGAUGCAUGAAAACUGUGUUGCUUAUGCAAAUAGGAAAGAGUACUUUGUAUUACUGUAAUGCCUAGCAUUAGCAGCCAUGGCCCUGCACUUCUGAAAGAAUGAGCUGCAGUAAGUAUGCGUUUAUCAGUCAAGCUAAAUCUGGCUUUAUUUCUAAAAAUAAUUAGCCAAGUGGAUGAGGAGUAUCAAUUUUAUAAGGCUUUUAUUGAUGUGUCUCAUGAUAUUCUCACCAGAAUGUUGGAGUGGCAAAGUCUAGAAAGUAUGUUUAAAACUAACAGAGUACAUGAAAACUAAUUGGCAAAAAAUGUAGGAAGAAAGAAGCAGUGACUCGCUGUCAGGCUGGGAGAAGGGUUUUUUGGUCAGAAUUUGUCCUGAUUCUGUCAGCAAGAAUGAUGCUUGUUCUGCAGUGCUUGUCAUCAAAGUCUUAAAUUGAUGCUUGUUAGGUUAAAGAGUACAUUGAAUGGAUGGUUAAUAAAAUUUCAUUCAGAGAGGAAAGUAAUAAUCCUUUCUCAGUUUCAUGAUGUGUAUGAAUAGAUUUCUUGCACUUAAAACUGAAGCAGGAAACAUUAAUACAUGUUUUCUUUCCAACAAUAUUUUCCCAUGUUUCUAGACUUGUUUUGUGGUAUUAAAACUAAUCCCAGUACAGGCAAGAAUCUGAACCAAAUGUGCCAUACCAAAAAAAAGCUUCAUAACUGUUUGAAUCAUGAGGAAUGUUCUUGGUUGCUUGGUUAUUAAACGUCUCAGAGUGUAUGUUUUCUUGUUUCUUUCCUGUUUUGUUCUGUCUUCUUAAAGAGCAUGUGUUUAAACAGUGAGCAGGAUUCACAGCAUGUGCUUUGGUAUGUACAAAGUGAUCUCUGUGCAAAUCAUACAAGCUGGAGAAGUUCAGUUUUCAGAGAUUUAUAAUAUCCAUAAAAUGUCCACGAAGUAUGUGGUAAUAGUUAGAAUUAAGAGAACAGAUUGAAUGAACAUGUAUGAUAAAAGCUCUGCAACCUCUGCUAGUGGCUCAAGAUUUUGAGGGUAAGAUAGUUGUUUCACAGUUCAAAAGAUUUUGCCUUCCACACUUCUUCCCAGUGCUGCUUUCUUUCAUGAACUUCAUCCCAUUGCUUAGUUUGGUGUGGUUCAAAGGUUGCUGAAGUAAUUAUUUCUAUCCUUGAUGUUGACAGAAAAGUGAAGAAUGAUUACAAGUUUUGCUUCUUCCUUUGUUUUUUGAAUGCUAGUUAAAGACCUGAAACUUCGUAUUUCCCUAAAGCUCCUUCCAAAGAGGAAUGGAAGUAACUUUUGUCAGAUGUAAGCAAGCUUCUUUGUGAUUUAACACAAUUGCUUUUUUGUUUGUAGAAGCAGAGAUAGAAACAAUUAAACUGGUCACUUUAAACUACUGGAUAAUAUUAGGAAGUUCAAAAAAAUUACAGUGGGGAGGAACUAUCUUUUUCACUCAGAGGAGAAAAGGUGAGAUAAGCAGAUUCUGGUAGUUAAUUGGGAGGGUCCUGUAAUCAUGUCUAAUACAGUGAGAGGUAACAUCUUUGAAUUUGUAAUGUGUAGAGAAUUACAGGUUGCUAAACUGUUCAGGUUUUAUUCUUUUGCGUAAUUUAUUUUCAUUAAAGUGUUCUUUGUUUGUUUGUUUAACCACUUACUCUGCUGAAGUAAGGUGAAUGUGGACCUCCUAUUCUAUUGAUGCAGCUUAACAUUGAAGAUGAAAAGAACAGACCCGUGCUUAUUUUGAAAGUGGUACCCUUCUUUUCACCUUCAGUGUUCAGACCACAAAUAUUCUUCUUAAUAUAAUGUUGAUACUACUUUAAAUAGAAGAACAACAGGCAGUUACUUUUUAUUGAUCCUUGUUCAAGUCUUAUUCUAUCUUGUCCUGUUUGCUUCUGACUUGCAUAGUAUCUCUUUCUCUCUUUCCUAUCUUCCUGUUGACUACUACAACAGAAAAAGAAGAGUCACAGUCACUUCAAGCAUGAGGUAGCAGUUAUCAGGAUUCCAAGUCUGACACAGCUUUAACUGAACAUUCUGGCAGUACCUCUUCCCAGUGCCCAGGGGUUGCAAAGACCUGAUUUCCAUACAGUUUCAAGUAAAUUAAUUAGAUGGGUUCAUGUACCUAAUCCAAGUUGCAAUAAAAUGUAACUUAGCAACUGUGUUUAUAGAUACAUUAACCUGAAGACAGACUGAAGGAUCUGUAUUUUCCAGAGGUAGGGAAAAAAAGCAGUUUUAUUGAACAUACAAGUAUGUGCAUAUAUGCAAGUAUAUUAAGAAAAACUGUACAUAGUCUUGGUAACUAAAAGAAUGAAGUUUAUUUUGGGCAACUUCAAUCACCAUUCUUAAGUAUUACCAAAACUUUUGCCGGAUCAGCUGGUUAUAAACCUGCCUAGGUGCUACCUCAGCUGAUAGCAGAUAACGCCCUAGUGACACUACUGUAUUGCAUGAUAAAUGGAUUAAACAGUGAUAAGAGGGACUGUAUUUGGAAAGCUUUGAAAAUCCAAUGUGCACGAACUUUUAUCACUAAAUAACCUUUCACUUUUAUUACACCAAUUUUCAAAUACCAUGUAACUACAUUUCAUUUGAUUUGUAAUUAGAAGUUGUAAAAGUACUUCAAGUUUCUUAACAGUAUUUGUUGUCCGCAUUCAGAGUUCAUCCACCUUGGGUGAUGUUUACAAGCAGUUGACCUUGGUGUUGUGUGUGCACGGGGAGCGUGUUUUACAAAUUAAAAAUCUUCUAACUUCUAAAACUUUUUUUUUUUUUUAAAUAGUGGUAAAUUCUCAGUACAGAUUCCUCGCGGUUUUACUUUACUAUGAAAGAAAAUGUCUCAAGAAAGCAGGAAAUUUUCUGGUCCCUUAGAGUAACAGUAUGUAUUCUUAGUAUUUAACUUUUUUGUAUGUUUUUUGUUACCUUUAUCAAAGUCAAUGUAAUGAUUAAACAUUUCUAGCUUUAUACAGCCUCUACAGUUACAGAUUUCAGUGCAGUUACAAUUUUCUGGUUCUAUUUGGGUUUUUAUUACGGAUAGGAAGCAACAAACAAAAAGCUGAUCCCAAAAAUAUAUAUUACUUCAAUUUAGGAAUUCAUACAUAAUGAGACUUAAUACUGAAAUACUUCUGUAUUGAUGUGCAGAACUGUGAAAAAGCAAUUCUUAGGAAAAUGAAGAUGAAUACACAUCAUUCUAAUUUAAGGACUGGCACUGCUACAGAAAAUGCUGUGGAAGAAGUCAAUGUGACUUCCUGCGAAGCAGCUGAAUCCGAAGUGGGAUUCAGACCGCUCAGUCAGGAGGAGGACUGCAUCUUCUGUCAGCAUUUCAUCAACCUUGGUACAGCUGGGAGGAAAUGUGCUGAUGGCUAGAUUCCUGCAGUUCUGCUUUGUGGACAGCUGUGCGUUCACACACCAUAAACCUGUUUGUGUCCUUACCUGCUCUGCAGUUAAAUAUUUCUGUCCUUGAAAGAACAAGAUCUUUGGCAGGCAAUCCAAUAUAAGAACAUCCUUGCAAAUCAGGAUGUUAAGAUCAGAGAACAGGCAUCAAAAUUGUUUGUUUUUUUUUCUUCAGUUUUGGUUUUAUUUCAUCUAUAGUUUAUUUAGUGAUAUUGAAGGAAUUGCCUUCAAAAGGCCUUUUAAUAAAGAUGCAUGAUAGGGGACAUUAUUUACCACACAGAGGCUUUCUUUUUUGCUGUUCAGUUAAUCUAAAGCCAGGAACGUGCUUUGCCUGUGUUACAACUCCAAGCCUAUCAGCGGCUUUGUUUUUUUCCCUUUAACUGGAGAGUUGUUUUGUUUUAAUUUGGAAUUGCACCACAUUUUGCCUGAGUAAGGAACAGCUUUUUCUUCAAAAAAUAAAAGUAUAGAUUUAUAUUCAUAAUUACUAUAGCUAGAGAAUAUGCUGUUGUCAUAUUAAUGACUCUGAAAAAUAAAUUAGUUUUGAAGAUGGUAACUGUUCUAUUGUUCAGUGUUGUCAAAUUCAGGCACAGAAUUCUUUCUGUAACAGUCCUAUCAUUGAUGAUAAAAAUCCAUAAGCUAUCUUUAUUCUUAUUGCUAGGAUUGUUGUUGAUUUUCAUUUUUAGUAGGAGAUUGUUUCACAUCGCAAUAGCUAAAAUCAUGUCCAUAAAGAAGAUCCUUCUGAGAGAUUUCAUCCAAGUAUGACUUAUUACCUGUAACAGUAUUCCACAUAUUGUUAUUUCCCAAAGAUUUAUGUAAGAGUUCUCUCAUUCUCCUGUUUUCUUUGGAUGUGGAUUCCCAAAUGACUUCAAGUUCACCUUCUACUUUUCUAGGAAGAAAAAUGAAUAUAAAUCUUAAUCUUAAAACCACUUUUCAGCCGUAUGCAAUAAUGGUAUGCACAUAAGCAAAUUAUACAGUGCAUAAAUUUAGAUGUUUGAAAUGUUCUGAUUUGAAAUUAAGUCUUAUUUUGCUUUUAAAAUCCUAGUAACUAACAUCAGAGAGGACUGAGGUUAAUUCAACACAUAGAACAACACGCCUUUGAAUCAGGCUGUUGUGACUGCAGUCCUGUUUCCUCAGCGGGUAUGUUUCUGUAACGCAUGCACCCCCUUUUCUGCCAGAUAUGAUUUCUGUAUCUUGUCUACCAGCUAAACAAGCCUGAUCAAGCAACAGGUCAGUUCAGGCUCUGUGCUCAGCUAAUACUUCUCUUUGUGGAGGCCAAAGAGAAAUGGUGUCAACUUCUGGGUUUGUGUGCUGGUGGUGUAUGGAAACAGAUACAUUUAGAGAGGGAGUGGUGUGUCUGAACUUUUCUUAGAAGAUUAACUUCUGAACAAAUCCAACAGAUGCCGAAUAUGAAAGUGCUUGCUGAUUUCACUUUGGAAUAAGCUGUCAAAGCAUGUCAUUGUCAAAGAAACAUAUUGUGGAUGCUCCUGACUUUGCACACAGUGUACUACAGUCAUAAGUAAGACUUCAGCGGGGGGUAAUACACAGCUUUUGACAGUUGUUUUUUCAGGUAAGCAUCUAAGAAGCAACAGUUACAACACAACUGCAGUUGCACAACGAUCUAUUUGGAUUGUUUCUGCCUCUGACUUACUUCUUUUGCUGCAGCACUUCAUCAAGGGUUUCCUGUUUGUCUUGCAGCAGACGCUGGAGGUGCUUCAUUUCUUGCUGGUACUGAGCAGUCUUCCCAGCAAAAUCUUUCUCCUGCUCAGUCAAUUUGAGACUGAUAUCUCCAAGCUUCCCAGCUGCUCUCUUUUUAUAGAGCUGUAGAGUUAAUAGGAAAAGUGUUAUGAUAGGAGAAAUAAGUGCAAUUUACUACCACCAAAAGGAAGUUGUGAGAGAUUCAUUUGCAGUUUAAUCUUUUCAUCAGUGAUGCUUUUCUUUAAAUCCAUCAGGCUUUAGCCACUAAGUUUUCAUCUUCAUCUGAAUCAGAGCAAAAAAGUCUUAAGUAUACCUUAUGUGGAGAAGAAUAUUUAACUUGAGAUUCCCGAAGAGAAAUCUACAAAAUACAGGAUGAUAUGACUGCACGUUAAAUAGAAUGUGAGGUUAAAGCUUGCAGUGAUGCAAUCUUCCCCAUGAGAUCUUCCACCUCAGAGCGCUUUUUCUCCUGCUCCUGCUGUAAAUGGCUGCAGAAACAACCACGUAGAACAGGAUUCUUGUGUACACCUACUUCAGUAUAAAGUCAAAUUAUGGUAAGAGUAUCGUGCUGAAGGUAUGAAAAAGGUACAUUAGUAAUAUUUGGUGUUCAGUGGUGCUAAAGAAUGGUUUUACAAUCUGAUGACGUACCAGUUUGUGAAUGAAGCAUAACACAACCAAAAAUGAAUAAAAAUGAAAAUUCAUCCUGGCUGCAUUUGAAAUAAUUCUAUAACUUAUAAAACAUAUAGUCCAAAAUGCAUUUCCUGCAUAUUUUUUUCAAAGAAACUGUUAGGCAGAACUUCUAGGGAAGGGAUCGUACCAAGAAACAAUGAAAUUACUAUCCUCAGGUGAAAGAAAACAAAUUUACAGAAUGUCUUUAGAAAAGCAUUACUUCCCAAAAUACGUGUGACAGACAUCUUGUUUUAUCACUUUCAUACCUUCAGGGUUGAGAUUCACUUUCAUAAUUUUAAUCGUCUAUAAAAAUCAAGACAGUAUUUUGAAAAUACUGACACUUAUUCAUGCGUAGAAAUAACUACCAAAGUACAGAAAAUUACCAGCACAUUUCUACCUACAGAACAAUGCAUGCAUAUGAGGAUGUGCUCACGUGAAUGUUCUGUAGAACUGUUUCUUUUGCACCAAAUGCAAACUCACCUUUUUAAGUCAUUCACCAAAGCAAAGUGCUCCUCUGCUGCUAUUCUGCUAUCCAGUUUGGCUUUGAGCUCUUCACAAGUAGUAUGUAGAGCUUUCAACUGCUUCUGGUAGUCUCUGAUCUGUUCUUCUUGACUCUGUUUCUUCUCUUCUAAAAUUAUUAUCUGUUUGGUCAAUUUUGAAGCUUUUGGAAGGAAAAAAGCACAACUGGGUACAGCAGAAUUAAUUCAAUCGCACAACUGGGUACAGCAGAAUUAAUUCAAUCGCACAACUGGGUACAGCAGAAUUAAUUCAAUCACUUAGAACUCAAACCAAUAAUACAUUCAUUCACUGUUCUUCAUAGCAUUAUCUAACAGUGGAUUUUUAUGUUUUAACAGUUUGGUUUGUUUCUGUCCUAAUUUGUCUAGAUGUGCCAAAUUUUUCCACAGCGAGGUAGGUAACUAUAAGUAGGAGGAAAGUCAAACUUUGAAAGCAGAAAGGAAACUAUUUCUGGAACUACAUGUCAGAUAAACAGAGAAUUUCAGAAUUGAAAAUUGGCUAUAUAGAUUCAUUUCAUAAAAUGAUUUUCAUCGUAAACUUUAUACUAACAACUGAAUUACAUGUUCUUCAGGACAUCCUAACCUGUGAAUUAAGAUUCACAAAAUUCGUACCUUCAGUCUUGCUUUUAUUAAUCAUUACUAAGAAAUGUUGCUCUCAGUACUAGGAUUUUAAAUGUAACAUGCCAGACUUUUUUUCUCAAUACUUUUUUUUUCUCAAUACUCGAAAUAACAGAAUUCAGAAUUCUAUUAUCAAAAAUUAUCAAGAGGAAUUGGUUGAUAUAGAGCAUAAUUAUUCAACUAAAUACAAGCCUCUGAUGAAACAAUAAGUAACCAAACUGAUUACAAAACAAUUAGUAACCAAACUGAUUACUACUUGACAUGUACAUAUAAAUCUAAGCCAUAUCAAACUAUGAAAGUAAAAUCACAUGCUGCUACCUGUGACAUAAUCUACUAUUAUAUCAGUAAUAAAGAUUGGUUUAGGAAGUAGAAAAAUGAACCGAUAAAGCCCACAGAUUCUAAAUUGAACAUGAAAGCCUGUGAAGUUUUAAGGGCUCUUGAAAUACACUUUACUGAUUUCAUUAUUUUUUUUUUCAGUUCUGGUCACUCUUCUAGAAGAAGGAAGUCAAAACAGACUGUCCUGUAUAGUAAUCAGUAAGCGAUAGCGGCAUUCCUUUUUCCUGUCAGCUGACAGCCAGAGUCUGUCUUCGUAGUAGUGUUCUACGAGCAUCUUAUCAAGCUGAGGAAAAAAAAAAAUCACAAACUGCAGUUGCUGUGACUAGAAACUCAAGCUCAUACCUUCUUGAACAUGUUGUCUGUGACUAUCUUUUGCUUUAGCUUGUUGAAUUUCAAGUUGCUCCAUCAACAACCUAUUUUCUUCCAAGACCAGUCUGGCCUGAGUUUGUAGCUGGUGCCUGCAAGAACAAGCAGUUUAUAAAAUGUCUGAAGUUUAUGUCCAAAGGAGAAAACAACCGACUUCCAACAGUGUAAACUUAAAACUGUAUUUGAAUGCCCUUCAAAAAUAAAUGAAAAGCCUUCAUCAAAAGCAAUCUCAAGAUGUAAGGUCUUCAUUUUCCUUCACCAGCUCUUCGACUUGUACUUUAAAAUUCUUCAUAUCCUCCUGGAAGAUAAAGGAUUUCAAAUUAAAAUAUUUAGAGGGAACUGCAUAAAUCGCACUGGUGCUAAAGCUUUCUCCAUGUUUCUCAUUACUCUCAGAGCUGGACUCUGCCUCUGCCUCUCUGCCAGCAUCUGAAAGAUAGGUUUCCAUGUCCUCAUCCUCACAGUAACUGCCUGUUAUUUCCAGUGACUGCACAGGAGAUCUGUCACUGCCAUCAAGUUUCCAGUUAGGCCUAGAGCAAAACAAAGCAUACGCUACCCCAUUCUGAGCUCUGUGACUGUAGCAUAUGGUUCAAAGCCCUCCUGUUCUGCGUGGGCAGAAUCACCUUCAGAAAGUGAUCGCUGCCGAGGCUGAGGAAUAGCAACCGUGCGCCCUGUCAGUGUUGUUGCAAGGAUAGCUGCUGCUAAAGCAGAUCUGGAAGAAAAUAGAAGAAAAGAAACAAUACAGUACUAACGUCAUCUCUGUGCUGCACACCUUAUAUCCUCUUCCAAUGUAAAAUGUCUUCACUAUUUAAGAAAAGCCAGAAGUUCAAAGUUAAAAAAUAAUGCUAACAUUGCAAAGGGACCGGAUUUAAACCAGUUAACUCCAAGGUAACGCACAAAACCAGGUGUGCUCUAACAAUGCACUCUAAUGAGUGCAAUCUAAGAGUACAGUUUAAAUACCUAAUAAGUUUUUCAAAUGCAUGAAAAAGAAAUAAUAUACUGAAUUACAUUUCCAAAAUUCACACCAAAAAUGUACAGUACUUAGCAUUCACUUCAGUCCUAAUAACAGUUCAUGGAGGCAGGUUGAAAAACUGUUCCAUAUUUUGCUAUUUUGUCUCCUGCUUCCCAGGAGAAAACUACACAGAAUUGUUGAUGUCAUUACUGAUGGCUGUGAAGCUGUGCAUAAAUGCUGAAGCGUUACAAACUAGUGCAAGUGUAAGUAGAUGGAAGUGCUUGCUAGCGGGAUGCUGCAGAGCAGAGUGGAGUAAGAUAAAGAUGAAAAAGAAAUGGGAAUGAAGAUCAAAUGAUGAGGGUUGCAACAGGAAUGGCAGCAGCUGGAGAUCAAAAAGAAGAAAUGAACUGCAAUUGACCAGGAAUAAUAUGGACAGAAGCAAGAACACACAGAAAACAACCAGAAGUGAAUUAAAUGCAGAGAAAUCAAAGAAGAAAAACUGUAAAGUACUAUAAAUGAAACUAAAUUCCUAUUUUCCCUUUGUA